UGGGGUAUAGCUCAGUGGUAGAGUAUGUGCUUGACAUGCAUGAGGUCCUGGGUUCCGUUUCCAGCACCUCCA
rnacentral:tRNA from 1 species